GUGGAAAGGCAGAAUAUUCGGCUUCUGUAAAUUACACAGAUAAUAAAAUCGGGGCUACUAAUUUCAUGGCUUUUGAAAUCUCUAUGAACACUACUGACCAGUAUUUGUCUGCCUUUGAGGAAGCACAUGCCAUUGGACGUCUUAUAUCUAACGAUCUUAGCAAAUUCCUGGACUCACCAGUUGAUGUAUUUCCUUAUAGUUAUUUCUACAUCUUUUUUGCGCAAUAUCAAGGUUUGUAUAGGACGACCUGUAUUCUUGUUUUGUCGCUUCUUAGUGUUCUAUUUUUUUGCUUUAUAAUUUUUUUUGCUCUUGAUUUAUGGUCAUCGUUAAUUGUCAGCAUUACAAUGGCUUCUGCAAUUUUUGUUUUUUUUGGUACACUUGGAGCAUUGAAUAUUCAAUUGAAUUCAAUUCUAUUAAUAAAUCU